rnacentral:rRNA from 1 species
AUUGAACGCUGGCGGAAUACUUUACACAUGCAAGUCGAACGGCAGCACGGACUUCGGUCUGGUGGCGAGUGGCGAACGGGUGAGUAAUGUAUCGGAACGUGCCCAGUCGUGGGGGAUAACGUAGUGAAAAUUACGCUAAUACCGCAUACGAUCUAUGGAUGAAAGCGGGGGAUCGCAAGACCUCGCGCGAUUGGAGCGGCCGAUAUCAGAUUAGGUAGUUGGUGGGGUAAAGGCCCACCAAGCCAACGACCUGUAGCUGGUCUGAGAGGACGACAAGACACAUUGGAACUGGGACACGGUCCAGACUCCUACGGGAGGCAGCAGUAGGGAAUUUUGGACAAUGGGCGAAAGCCUGAUCCAGCCAUUCCGCGUGCAGGAUGAAGGCCCUCGGGUUGUAAACUGCUUUUGUACAGAACGAAAAGGUUUCUACUAAUACUAGGAGCUCAUGACGGUACUGUAAGAAUAAGCACCGGCUAACUACGUGCCAGCCGCCGCGGUAA